rnacentral:rRNA from 1 species
GAUGAACGCUGGCGGCGUGCCUAAUACAUGCAAGUCGAGCGAACGGACGAGAAGCUUGCUUCUCUGAUGUUAGCGGCGGACGGGUGAGUAACACGUGGAUAACCUACCUAUAAGACUGGGAUAACUUCGGGAAACCGUAGCUAAUACCGGAUAAUAUUUUGAACCGCAUGGUUCAAAAGUGAAAGACGGUCUUGCUGUCACUUAUAGAUGGAUCCGCGCUGCAUUAGCUAGUUGGUAAGGUAACGGCUUACCAAGGCAACGAUGCAUAGCCGACCUGAGAGGGUGAUUGGCCACACUGGAACUGAGACACGGUCCAGACUCCUACGGGAGGCAGCAGUAGGGAAUCUUCCGCAAUGGGCGAAAGCCUGACGGAGCAACGCCGCGUGAGUGAUGAAGGUCUUCGGAUCGUAAAACUCUGUUAUUAGGGAAGAACAUAUGUGUAAGUAACUGCGCACAUCUUGACGGUACCUAAUCAGAAAGCCACGGCUAACUACGUG